CCCUUAGAUGUCCUGGGCCGCGCGCGCGCUACACUGAGUGUCUGAGAUACGAGUCUGCCUGGUCCGGCAAGGUCUAGGUAAUCGCUAAAAGACACAUCAUGCUUGGGAUAGAUUAUUGCAAAUAUUAAUCUUGAACGAGGAAUUCCUAGUAAGCGCAAGUCAACAGCUUGCGUUGAUUACGUCCCUGCCCUUUGUACACACCGCCCGUCGCUACUACUGAUUGGAUGUUUAAGCGAGGUUCUCGAACUGCUAGCGACUUAGCUUCGGUGAGGUCGCAGUGUGGGAAGUGAACCGAGCUUUGGUGUCUAGAGGAAGUAAAAGUCGUAACA
rnacentral:rRNA from 1 species